GACAGAGGUGCCGAGCGUUAAUCGGAAUUACUGGGCGUAAAGCGUGCGCAGGCGGUUUUGUAAGCCAGAUGUGAAAGCCCCGGGCUUAACCUGGGAAUGGCAUUUGGGACUGCAAGGCUAGAGUUUGGCAGAGGGGGGUAGAAUUCCACGUGUAGCAGUGAAAUGCGUAGAUAUGUGGAGGAACACCGAUGGCGAAGGCAGCCCCCUGGGUCAAAACUGACGCUCAUGCACGAAAGCGUGGGGAGCAAACAGG
rnacentral:rRNA from 1 species